rnacentral:rRNA from 1 species
UAGGGAAUCUUCCGCAAUGGACGAAAGUCUGACGGAGCGACGCCGCGUGAGCGAAGAAGGUCUUCGGAUCGUAAAGCUCUGUUGUUAGGGAAGAAGAAGUGCCGUUCGAACAGGGCGGCACGGUGACGGUACCUAACGAGAAAGCCCCGGCUAACUACGUGCCAGCAGCCGCGGUAAUACGUAGGGGGCGAGCGUUGUCCGGAAUUAUUGGGCGUAAAGCGCGCGCAGGCGGUCCCUUAAGUCUGAUGUGAAAGCCCACGGAUUAACCGUGGAGGGUCAUUGGAAACUGGGGGACUUGAGUGCAGAAGAGGAGAGCGGAAUUCCACGUGUAGCGGUGAAAUGCGUAGAGAUGUGGAGGAACCCCAGGGGCGAAGGCGGCUCUCUGAUCUGUAACUGACGCUGAGGCGCGAAAGCGUGGGGAGCAAACAGG